GAUGAACGCUAGCUACCGGUUUAACACAUGCAAGUCGAGGGGCAUCAGGAAGAAAGCUUGCUUUCUUUGCUGGCGACCGGCGCACGGGUGAGUAACACGUAUCCAACCUGCCCUUUACUCGGGGAUAGCCUUUCGAAAGAAAGAUUAAUACCCGAUGGCAUAAUGAUUCCGCAUGGUUUCAUUAUUAAAGGAUUCCGGUAAAGGAUGGGGAUGCGUUCCAUUAGGUUGUUGGUGAGGUAACGGCUCACCAAGCCUUCGAUGGAUAGGGGUUCUGAGAGGAAGGUCCCCCACAUUGGAACUGAGACACGGUCCAAACUCCUACGGGAGGCAGCAGUGAGGAAUAUUGGUCAAUGGGCGCUAGCCUGAACCAGCCAAGUAGCGUGAAGGAUGAAGGCUCUAUGGGUCGUAAACUUCUUUUAUAUAAGAAUAAAGUGCAGUAUGUAUACUGUUUUGUAUGUAUUAUAUGAAUAAGGAUCGGCUAACUCCGUGCCAGCAGCCGCGGUAAUACGGAGGAUCCGAGCGUUAUCCGGAUUUAUUGGGUUUAAAGGGAGCGUAGGUGGACUGGUAAGUCAGUUGUGAAAGUUUGCGGCUCAACCGUAAAAUUGCAGUUGAUACUGUCAGUCUUGAGUACAGUAGAGGUGGGCGGAAUUCGUGGUGUAGCGGUGAAAUGCUUAGAUAUCACGAAGAACUCCGAUUGCGAAGGCAGCUCACUGGACUGCAACUGACACUGAUGCUCGAAAGUGUGGGUAUCAAACAGG
rnacentral:rRNA from 1 species